UCGAGGGCAACCUUGUCUGGGGAGACGAGAACGAGGCCGGCCCCACACCCCUGGGCAUUAGAAGAGCCGUCCACAAAUAAGGUCCAUAGGGGCUGGGUCAGGUCGAAAGUGCUUUUGCUGGCGGUUUAGUCCUGGCUCGAAGGGAGAUUGGGUUCGGUUAUGAGCUGGGUAGCUGCGGAAGCUUGGGGCUCCGUGAAUUCGGAUAAGAAGUCAGCAACGGCCUGCCCCCUUAUAGCCGGG
rnacentral:lncRNA from 1 species